rnacentral:rRNA from 1 species
UGAGGAAUAUUGGUCAAUGGUCGGGAGACUGAACCAGCCAAGCCGCGUGAGGGAUGAAGGUACAGAGUAUCGUAAACCUCUUUUGUCAGGGAACAAAAGGCGCCACGCGUGGCGCUCCGAGUGUACCUGAAGAAAAAGCAUCGGCUAACUCCGUGCCAGCAGCCGCGGUAAUACGGAGGAUGCGAGCGUUAUCCGGAUUUAUUGGGUUUAAAGGGUGCGUAGGCGGCGAGUUAAGUCAGCGGUAAAAGCCCGGGGCUCAACCCCGGCCCGCCGUUGAAACUGGCUUGCUUGAGUUGGAGAGAAGUAGGCGGAAUGCGCGGUGUAGUGGUGAAAUGCUUAGAUAUCGCGCAGAACUCCGAUUGCGAAGGCAGCCUACCGGCUCCAGACUGACGCUGAGGCACGAAAGCGUGGGUAUCGAACAGGAUUAGAUACCC